rnacentral:rRNA from 1 species
AUUGAACGCUGGCGGCAGGCCUAACACAUGCAAGUCGAGCGAGCGGCGGACGGGAGAGUAAUGUCUGGGAAACUGCCUGAGGGAGGGGGAUAACUACUGGAAAGGGUAGCUAAUACCGCAUACCAUCAGGAGAGCACAGAUGGGCUUAGCGAGUAGGUGGGGGAAUGGCUCACCUAGGCGACGAUCCCUAGCUGGUCUGAGAGGAUGACCAGCAACACUGGAACUGAGAAACGGUCCAGAAUCCGACGGGAGGCAGCAGUGGGGAAUAUUGCACAAUGGGCGCAAGCCUGAUGCAGCCAUGCCGCGUGUGUGAAGAAGGCCUUCGGGGUGUAAAGCACUUUCAGCGGGGAGGCGUUACUCGCAGAAGAAGCACCGGCUAACUCCGUGCCAGCAGCCGCGGUAAUAC